AUGCCUGCAUAUGAUGAAUAUUAUGUUGGUAGGGACAUCUGAGAGCCUGAUGAAUUGCCAACAUAUCUGAGCUGGGCAU
rfam:Picoides pubescens contig98522, whole genome shotgun sequence.